rnacentral:ncRNA from 2 species
AGAGCUGACACGGGGUGCCAGGCCAGGAGGGCAGGCUGAGAAUCGAUACCCGUUGAACCUGUCCGGUUAGCACCGGCGGAGGGAUGUCAGAUGCUGCCGCU